GGCCACUAGGGCGGCGCUGCGGCUGCUGCUGGUGUUUCUCUGUCUGCUCAUCAUGCUGCUCAUGGCAGUGCUGAACAUAGUUUUUAUCCCAGGUGAUAACUGUUUAAGUGUUUCCCACAAUGCAACAGUACUGAACACUCUCAAUCUCUACACUGUCCCGUAUUAUCUGUACUGCUGUCUGCUGGCGAUGCUGGGCGUGAUUGUGUUUGUGCGUGUGAGCGUGUCUGUUAAAGUCUUCCUCCUGACCCUCGCUGUGGUGGUUUAUCUCGCGCUUUUCCUGCACGUUUACGCGCCGCGCUCCAACUGCUACAUGAAACAGCUCUACAGUGACAACAGCACG
rnacentral:lncRNA from 1 species